rnacentral:rRNA from 1 species
UCGAGCGAACAGACGAGGAGCUUGCUCCUCUGACGUUAGCGGCGGACGGGUGAGUAACACGUGGAUAACCUACCUAUAAGACUGGGAUAACUUCGGGAAACCGGAGCUAAUACCGGAUAAUAUAUUGAACCGCAUGGUUCAAUAGUGAAAGACGGUUUUGCUGUCACUUAUAGAUGGACCCGCGCCGCAUUAGCUAGUUGGUAAGGUAACGGCUUACCAAGGCAACGAUGCGUAGCCGACCUGAGAGGGUGAUCGGCCACACUGGAACUGAGACACGGUCCAGACUCCUACGGGAGGCAGCAGUAGGGAAUCUUCCGCAAUGGGCGAAAGCCUGACGGAGCAACGCCGCGUGAGUGAUGAAGGUCUUCGGAUCGUAAAACUCUGUUAUUAGGGAAGAACAAAUGUGUAAGUAACUAUGCACGUCUUGACGGUACCUAAUCAGAAAGCCACGGCUAACUACGUGCCAGCAGCCGCGGUAAUACGUAGGUGGCAAGCGUUAUCCGGAAUUAUUGGGCGUAAAGCGCGCGUAGGCGGUUUUUUAAGUCUGAUGUGAAAGCCCACGGCUCAACCGUGGAGGGUCAUUGGAAACUGGAAAACUUGAGUGCAGAAGAGGAAAGUGGAAUUCCAUGUGUAGCGGUGAAAUGCGCAGAGAUAUGGAGGAACACCAGUGGCGAAGGCGACUUUCUGGUCUGUAACUGACGCUGAUGUGCGAAAGCGUGGGGAUCAA